rnacentral:rRNA from 1 species
AUUGAACGCUGGCGGCAGGCCUAACACAUGCAAGUCGAGCGGUAGCACAGAGAGCUUGCUCUCGGGUGACGAGCGGCGGACGGGUGAGUAAUGUCUGGGAAACUGCCUGAUGGAGGGGGAUAACUACUGGAAACGGUAGCUAAUACCGCAUAACGUCGCAAGACCAAAGUGGGGGACCUUCGGGCCUCAUGCCAUCAGAUGUGCCCAGAUGGGAUUAGCUAGUAGGUGGGGUAAUGGCUCACCUAGGCGACGAUCCCUAGCUGGUCUGAGAGGAUGACCAGCCACACUGGAACUGAGACACGGUCCAGACUCCUACGGGAGGCAGCAGUGGGGAAUAUUGCACAAUGGGCGCAAGCCUGAUGCAGCCAUGCCGCGUGUAUGAAGAAGGCCUUCGGGUUGUAAAGUACUUCUAGCGAGGAGGAGGCGUUAAGGUAUAACUUGGCGAUUGACGUUACCCGCAGAAGAAGCACC